rnacentral:piRNA from 1 species
UACGCAUCUUGUCUAUUCUGA